rnacentral:misc_RNA from 1 species
AACACUGUUAACCUGCGGUACCUGCGGAAGGAUCAUUAACCGUUACAAACAGUGUGUGCUGCGGCCCCCGAGGUGAGGCAACGAGCCUUCGGGAGGUCUGGGGUCCGCCCCUUCACGCGCACGCGUCUGCCAUCCUUACUUUACGAGCACCUUCUGUUCUCCCUCGGCAUGCGUCCUGCGCUGCCGUUGGAAUUACAAAACUCUUUUUUGCAUCUAGCAUUACCUGUUCCGACAAUAACA